GUUCUGUUUGUUUAGCUCUUUUUUUCUGCCAGCAACAUGAUCUUGUAUAUUUCGCAUUCCAGGCGCACAAUAAACUUGAAAGUUUUUUAUGAAUUUGGGCAUUUGUUCGUGCAUUUUUGCUUUUGAGACGUUGGCUUCGGCCUAAUUGGCAUUUUCAGCGCGUCUCCACCUCCGAUUCUCUGAUGAACUGGCGCAACGCACCCAAAACAUAUUUUAUAUGGUUUCGCCUUAUUGUUCUUGACAAUUUUGCAUGUCGAAGCCUAAAUGCGAAACUUUUUUCACCGCUUUCUUCUGCCAAAAAAAAGCAAAAAAAAAGAAAAAACAGAAAAAACGUCGAGUGUCUGUGCCUGUGCAAUCAUAAUGGUGCCAUAUCUCACCGAUUUGAGUCGGGUAUAUUCCGUAGUCGGUGCUGGGUGAAGCCAUAACAACUGAUUUUACGAGCAUGUUAGCAAUUUGAAAGUUUUUCGAUUUGUUAUGGGCAGAGCGACGCGUUUAAUGCUCUUAAAGGUGUGCGAACGAGCAGAUUAUGAUGUAAUUCAUGCAAAGUCGAAACUUUUGGGUGUUGGCAAUCCCGAUGAGUGCGAAUUUGGAAAACGGAAUGAAAUAAAUUCAUGGGGAUAAAGUCAUCGGGGGAUCUUUUAAAAAAGGGUAGUGCUCCCACAUUGGUUAAGGUCAGCUUAAAAAGAGUUCUGGAAAUUCGUGAAUCCAUAAAUUCCCCUGCCAUUACACCACAAUCUCAGAACUCUGUACUUUGCCCCGUUACCGUGAAAGACUUAAAAAAAAGGCAAUGAAACGUUCGCAGAAUGACACUUCAGUUUAAUGAACUGGCGACUCGCAAAAGUCUGGACAGAAAAAAAAACAAAAAAACAAAAACUGGAGCCAAGCUGAACUCGAAUGUCAAAGUCAGCGAAUCCCAACAAGCAAAGAACCCGGGGUCCCAUUACCAGUGCCCAAACCGUGGUAAUUCCCGAGCCAACUCCACCUAACUGCGCAUAAUUAAGAGUGAAAACCGCAGAAAAGAAAACAAUUUGCUGUCCGAUGGAAGUUGUCAAGCGGCGGAUCUGCGGCUUGGCCUGUUGGGAUUUGGCCGCCAGUUUGCCACGUUAUCAGCUGUGCGUGUCCUUGCUCCUAGCACUGCAACUCCCGCCUUUUUCGGUGGCAGGAUUUCGCUUUGAAUUCGGGCAGCAAUCGAGAGCAGACCCAAAUCGAGGGCUGGCCAUCAAAAGCGCAGCUGGAAAGCCAAACAUCGACUUAAUUAGGACCCGGCCUCUGGUGCAGCUUCAAAAGGAAAAUGCUAAAUGAAAAGAGGAAAACUCCUGCUGCUGCUAUUGAGCUUAACCCUUUCACUUCGGCUGUAAAAUGUUCACGUGUUUAAAUAAAUCUUCUCUCCAAUUACAUAAUUAAAGUAAUGUCCAAAGUAUUACAAUUAG